rnacentral:rRNA from 1 species
AUUGAACGCUGGCGGCAGGCUUAACACAUGCAAGUCGAGCGGAGCGAGGGUGCUUGCACCUUAGCUUAGCGGCGGACGGGUGAGUAAUGCUUAGGAAUCUGCCUAUUAGUGGGGGACAACAUUCCGAAAGGAAUGCUAAUACCGCAUACGCCCUACGGGGGAAAGCAGGGGAUGUUCGGACCUUGCGCUAAUAGAUGAGCCUAAGUCGGAGUAGCUAGUUGGUGGUGGUAAAGGCCUACCAAGGCGACGAUCUGUAGCGGGUCUGAGAGGAUGAUCCGCCACACUGGGACUGAGACACGGCCCAGACUCCUACGGGAGGCAGCAGUGGGGAAUAUUGGACAAUGGGCGGAAGCCUGAUCCAGCCAUGCCGCGUGUGUGAAGAAGGCCUUUUGGUUGUAAAGCACUUUAAGCGAGGAGGAGGCUACUUAGAUUAAUACUCUGGGAUAGUGGACGUUACUCGCAGAAUAAGCACCGGCUAACUCUGUGCCAGCCGCCGCGGUAACAC